UACGGAGGGUGCAAGCGUUGUUCGGAAUAACUGGGCGUAAAGAGCACGUAGGCGGAUUUGUAAGUCGAUUGUGAAAUCCCCGGGCUUAACCUGGGAAUUGCAGUCGAAACUGCAGAUCUUGAAUGUCUAAGAGGGCAAUGGAAUUCCCUGGUGUAGAAGUGAAAUUCGUAGAUAUCAGGAGGAACACCCGGUGGCGAAGGCGGCAUCCUGGACCGGCAC
rnacentral:rRNA from 1 species